GACGAACGCUGGCGGCGUGCCUAAUACAUGCAAGUAGAACGCUGAAGGAGGAGCUUGCUCUUCUGGAUGAGUUGCGAACGGGUGAGUAACGCGUAGGUAACCUGCCUGGUAGCGGGGGAUAACUAUUGGAAACGAUAGCUAAUACCGCAUAAGAGUAGAUGUUGCAUGACAUUUACUUAAAAGGUGCAAUUGCAUCACUACCAGAUGGACCUGCGUUGUAUUAGCUAGUUGGUGGGGUAACGGCUUACCAAGGCGACGAUACAUAGCCGACCUGAGAGGGUGAUCGGCCACACUGGGACUGAGACACGGCCCAGACUCCUACGGGAGGCAGCAGUAGGGAAUCUUCGGCAAUGGACGGAAGUCUGACCGAGCAACGCCGCGGGAGUGAAGAAGGUUGUCGGAUCGUAAAGCUCUGUUGUAAGAGAAGAACGAGUGUGAGAGUGGAAAGUUCACACUGUGACGGUAGCUUACCAGAAAGGGACGGCUAACUACGUG
rnacentral:rRNA from 1 species